AUUGAACGCUGGCGGCAGGCCUAACACAUGCAAGUCGAACGAGUGGCGGACGGGUGAGUAAUGUCUGGGAAACUGCCCGAUGGAGGGGGAUAACUACUGGAAACGGUAGCUAAUACCGCAUACCAUCGGAUGUGCCCAGAUGGGAUUAGCUAGUAGGUGGGGUAACGGCUCACCUAGGCGACGAUCCCUAGCUGGUCUGAGAGGAUGACCAGCCACACGGGAACGGGGACACGGUCAAGACUCCUACGGGAGGCAGCAGUGGGGAAUAUUGCAAAAGGGGGGCAAGCCGGAUGCAGACAUGCCGCGUGUAUGAAGAAGGCCUUCGGGUUGUAAAGUACUUUCAGCGGGGAGGCGUUACCCGCAGAAGAAGCAACGGCUAACUCCGUGCCAGCAGCCGCGGUAAUAC
rnacentral:rRNA from 1 species